AUUUGAGUGGCAGAAUACCUGACCACGGUGACUGACCCAAAAUUAAGGUGUCGCCCAUCUUCCACAUUAUCCACAGGUCCUUACCGGUUUUGACCGUUCUACCUGCCCUGACCCUGAGACUGCCUGCCGUUCUGGACCUUUUGCACCCUCUCUGGAUUACUGACCUCUGCCGGCCUUUGACCUGUCGUUUGCCUGCCCCUGUACUAGAAAUAAACUUGUGUUUCUUUGACACUGUCAUACCUUAAACCUGAUAAGCGACACAUAAUUCCCUCAGAUUACACAGAUCCACAAAGAAUUUGAAAACAAACCCAAUUUUGAUAAACUCCCAUAUCUUUUGGUUGAAAUAGCACAGUGUGCCAUCACAGC
rnacentral:lncRNA from 1 species